CCCCUGUCUCGACAAGCACCACUUUAUGUACUUUUCCCGUAGCUGAGCAACAUCCAACUGCAAAACAUCUUCAAGUAACACUGACUUCAGAUACCUGUGCACUCCCUCAUCUGCAAUAAACAAGGAGCCAAUCCGAGGGAAGACAGAGAGUCGAGGAAAAGCAGAAGGGAUGGGUUAGAUAUGGAAAAAAUGUAAAAAUAGAUGGAUCAAAUGAAAAGAAAAAGGAACUUCUACCCCUGAGGGGGGCUCCACAACCUCACAGGAGCCGGUGAGGCAAAGAACAAAAUAUCCAGCAACAAGGAAAAAAUGUAGAAGAACGCUAACAAUGGAAUAACAAGAGAAGAAAGGAGUGACGGAGAUCCAGGGAUUUGUCAAUUUCCUUUUGGAGCUUACUGGAUGUUUCAACCAUGAACUUGAGUUUGACCUUUGCCUCCUUUCUUUUCCUGAGUCUUCACUCUUGUACAGAAAAGCUUUGUGAGCUGCUGAAAUGCCACAGUCCAGUGGGAUCUUGGUGCCAGGGAGUUCUGGAAAAUGGAGUACUCGUCCCCAAGUGCGUUUGUCCUCAGUCCUGUCCAAGCCUCCUGGACUGGUUUCUGUUCCUGAGUCGUAUGGGGGAGUCCAACACACCUGAUACUCCGCCCCAGAUCUGCCUUAGCCACGCCCACAAGACACAACUAGCACGGAACAAGUCGUGUUUUUCCUCCUUACCCCUUUAAUUACUCAGUGUGGUCCACAUCAAUGAAAUGUAAUACUGAAUACACUGUAGCUGGAAGAAGAAUAUGAGAUCACUUUCACUCCCAUUGUAACCAGACACGGAAAAUGAAGUACUUCCUUUAUACACUGUCAUCGGAACUGCGCUUCAUGCAUUGUCCAGCAAAGAGAUCAAUGGUAACAACCUACACCCUACCUUACCCUAUUGGAUAAGAACAAGCUGAGCCACAGGGACCUGAGGAAGCUGUGAUACAAAAUGAUGCCACCGGAGCACCGGGCUUCAUCAAUCUCUCAGUCAGUCCCACCUGCAAGCCUCCAAGGAAAUUAGCUUUUGAACAAACAAGUGACUUCUUUUUUUUUUAGAUGAUUAGCUCAGCUGGCUAAACUUUGAAUUCAUUAAAUGUAGGCAUGUUUUUUUUCCUAAAAAGUGAGAAGCGCAUAACACUCACAUAAUUCAACUAAUGAACUCACUUGUGUUGCAUGUGUUUUCAGGAAACCAACCGCAUGGAAGAAAAAAAGCAGUGAUUACAUGGCCUGUUGGAUAAGUAGUUGAAAUGAUGAUCCUAUACCAUAAGGGGACUGAGUAGUCAAUAAUGUUUGGGCAGUGCUGCUCACACUAAGGUUCACAAUGUGAACCUUCUGUCUCUUGCAAUAUGUUACUUCACUGCUAAUUACUGAAACACCGAGGGUUAAAAGUGUCACACGACGAUGCUUUUCGCCCCCGCUCUGUGACCAAGUUGCACCUCCCACCAUGCUGUUCUCUCUGCACGCCAUCUAUCUAUCCAUCCAUUCAUCGUCCAUGCCAACACCCGCUUCCUGUGUCCUCCUCCCCUCCGGUCUCACGACCGCACCAUCGCUCCAUCAUCUUACUCCUCCUCCACGUUGGAGCGCUUGUUUCCCCCUUCAGUGCUUCCUACUCUCAUCUUCAAAUAGACUUAUCCUCGGCCUCCUUUCCUGUCGAUCCUUUCUUCAUUUCCACUCGUUCUUUCCAUCUCUCCCCAUUCUUCAUCCUCCACUCUCCCAACCCCCUUUUUCCCUGCCAGUCUGCAGUGACAGGUUUUGUGGGAGUAGGACUGGCUGUGUCAAUGUCAAGCCAUUCCCAGCAAUGAUAAUGUUUAUUACCCACUGUGUCUCCCGCUGCCCAUGGAUUAACACAGAUUGAAGCAGUACCCUUCAGAGAUAACAUUGCAGGGUGAACGGAAAGACAAUGGCUGUCUAGCUAGCCCCGGUACCGUUGUUUUCAUACACUUUACACCGUCUCCAUGUGCAUCUCUGGUUGUGUAAUUGUGUAACAUGUGCAUGGGUUGAUAAGAGCUUGAAUGCAUCCCAUGUCAUGAGGUCACCAUGUGUUAUGCAGUGCUGUGUUUGCAGCUCAUGUAACCAUAAUGGGAACAGGAAGGUGACCCUGCGAGAGCGGACAACCUGUCUGGUGGAUCAAUUUAUGUCAGUCAUAACUUCUUCCUAAUGUUACCUUUAUUUCUCAUGGUGAGAAAUGAAGCUGCCCUUUUUCACUGUAUUGGUUUUACAAAUUAAAAGCAGCCCACCGAAUGUUAAACAAGACGAGAUACUUCAUGAUAUACUGUCCAAAUUCUACUCUUUAAUUGAGGUUAAAAUCAUGAACCUUCGGCUUCAAAAUAAUUAUUUCCUGUAGGUUGAUGACACAUCCUCACAACAUUUUUUCUACCAUCAUCUCUACCAAAUUGUUAUUAUUUGUUAUUUUGUUUGUUUUAUUGACAGCAAUGGGAUUAAGCUCCUGCAAGCUGUGUCCUACAAUCAGACGAAGAUACCUCUAACGUGAAAAAAAGGCAAUGAACUAACUCCUUUCUGCAUGUCUGCUGAACUGUAAAGAACUGGCUGGAGACAACAUCUCCACAAUUUAAUAGCCACUGGCUGGCCUCUCUACACACUCCCAUCUGUUUCACGCCAGUGUUGCAGCUCAUAACGUUGUGAUUUAUGACCACGUCAAAUUUGAAAGUGUUUGGCUUGUCUGCGCAUUCGUACGUGCACGUGCUGACCGCCAACCUCGUUAAUUACAUCAGCUGACAUUUGUAUAUUGUCUAUUGUAAAAGAGCAGAGACGAUCGUCAAUGACGAGUAAAAAAAAAAUGACACGGCCUGCAACUAUGAGGGACGACGACAGCAGCGCGGACGGACAGCGGGAUGUUCCCUGAAUGACAGACUAGAUGGGGGGAAACAUCCGCUUCGUACGGGAUGACGUGACCAGAGAGGAGACAAAGGGAUCAUGACGGGGAGAAGUGGUGGAAAGAGUCAUAAUGCACUAGAAGAGAGAGGGGAAGGGGGGAGGAGGGGAGACAAAGUGACCGAAGGAAGGAAGGAGAGAGAGAGAGAGAGAAGUAUAAAAGGUCUCAGAAAGAUGGAAGGAGGUAAUGCAUCGUAAAUGGCAUUGGAGUGUAAUGCAUAAAAAAUGGAUCAGAAAUGAGGGAAAGACUGAGAACGGAG
ensembl:lncRNA